rnacentral:rRNA from 1 species
GAAUUCACUAGUGAUUUGCGGAAGGAUCAUUCA